UACGGAGGGUGCAAGCGUUAUCCGGAUUCACUGGGCGUAAAGGGUGCGUAGGUGGUUGUGCAAGUCUGAUGUGAAAUCUCCGGGCUUAACCCGGAAAUGGCAUUGGAAACUGCACAGCUAGAGGUUUGGAGGGGGGACUGGAAUUCUCGGUGUAGCAGUGAAAUGCGUAGAGAUCGGGAGGAACACCUGAGGCGAAGGCGGUCCGCUGGGCUGCACCUGACGCUGAGACGCGAAGGCGCGGGGAGCGAACGGGAUUGAGAA
rnacentral:rRNA from 1 species